AGCCUAGCUUCUUAUGUGGAACGGACCCGCAUAUGCAUAGCACCUCUCUUACACUUCCAUCCUGGCUUCAUAUAAAAGGGUUAACCCGGAGGUACUAUGUUUGGAUUGACAAGGAUUAUAAGCUAGCCCUCGGUCCCUAAACUUCCAAGGUGGUACUAAACCUACCAACUACAACCACGAUUGGGCCAUAUGGGCCAAUAACUUCAACUACUAUGGUAUAUUGGGCUGCGGUAUUACAUUCACCCCACCUUCAACCAAACCUGGGUACAUGGCCGUGCCAUGGGCCUAGUCGGAUGCACACGCACACAUGCAGCCAGGGUUCAUCCUCUGAAUACCAUAUGUAACACCCCGCUCCAAAAUCUACUUACAGCCCAGCUCAUUACGUGGACCAGGUCCGCAUAUGUCUAGCACCUCUCUAAUACUUUCGUCCUCUCUUCGUGUAUGUUGACGCUCAUUAUUGACACACUUUUAGUGCUAUUUGAAUUGUGUUUUCAUGCAUAUUCUUAUACUAACCCACCACUUGGCGCCUAAAAUAACCCCAUAUUCGCAUGUGUCAUGUAUUUUGGAUCAUCUUG
rnacentral:lncRNA from 1 species